rnacentral:rRNA from 1 species
CCUACGGGAGGCAGCAGUGAGGAAUAUUGGUCAAUGGGCGCGAGCCUGAACCAGCCAAGUAGCGUGAAGGAUGACUGCCCUACGGGUUGUAAACUUCUUUUAUAAAGGAAUAAUGUGAUCCACGUGUGCCCUUUUGUAUGUACUUUAUGAAUAAGGAUUGGCCAACUCCGUGCCAGCAGGCGCGGUAAUACGGAGGAUUGGAGCGUUUUCCGGAUUUAUUGGGUUUAAAGGGAGCGUAGAUGGGUUGUUAAGUUAGUUGGGAAAGUUUGCGGGUCAACCGUAAUAGUGCAGUUGAUACUGGCGUUCUUGAGUGCAGGAGAAGUAGGCGGAAUGCGUGGUGUAGCGGUGAAAUGCUUAGAUAUCACGAAGAACUCCGAUUGCGAAGGCAGCUUACUAAACUGCCACUGACAUUGAUGCACGAAAGUGUGGGUAUCGAACAGGAUUAGAUACCCUGGUAGUC